rnacentral:rRNA from 1 species
UACGGGGGGAGCAAGCGUUGUUCGGAUUUACUGGGCGUAAAGGGCGCGUAGGCGGUCAGCACAAGUCAGUUGUGAAAUCUCCGGGCUUAACCCGGAAAGGUCAAUCGAUACUGCGGGGCUAGAGUGCAGAAGGGGCAACUGGAAUUCUCGGUGUAGCGGUGAAAUGCGUAGAUAUCGAGAGGAACACCUGCGGCGAAGGCGGGUUGCUGGGCUGACACUGACGCUGAAGCGCGAAAGCUAGGGGAGCGAACGGG